UUCGUUCUAGCUCAGUGGUAGAGUGCUGGCUUUGCACGCAAGAGAUUCCGAGUUCGAAACAUAUGUCGGCUGCUGUU
rnacentral:tRNA from 1 species